rnacentral:misc_RNA from 1 species
AACAUCGCGCACCUGCGGGAACCUGCGGAGGGAUCAUUACAGAGUUGCAAAACUCCCUAAACCAUUGUGAACGUUACCUAAACCGUUGCCUCGGCGGGCGGCCCGGGUCCUUCCCGGCGCCCAUCGGCCCUCGCGGGCGCCCGCCGGAGGUAAACCAAACUAUUGCAUUGUAUGGCCUCUCUGAGUCUUCUGUACUGAAUAAGUCAAAACUUUUAACAACGGAUCUCAGAUCGGAAGAGC